UGCUUCAUUUUUUAUCUCAUGAUCAAUGAUCUGGAAAAAUGGAUAGACGGCGUAGAUAUACUAGACAUACAUCAAGGUGGGCCCACGCUCAGGGCCGCACCGUGUUAGGUAAGGCCGGUGCCGCACGUAAUCCACUCUCACAAAAUUUUAAGGGUUUCGAAAGCUCGACGCGCUCACACCUCUGGCCCCAAAUGCAAUUUUCCGGUUCUUUCAAUCUGCAAAGCCAUUGAAGAGGAGAUUUUGGCCGAUCAAUUGAUCCUGCAAGAAGUUCCAUUUGCCGUAUUUUCAAGAGCAUUGGAGCUGAAACGAAGAAAAAAAAAAAAACAGAUUUUCCCCUUUUCACAUCUCUAUCACUACGAAGCUUAAAUAUUCAGUUUUCUGAUUGAUCGGAUCUCUUCUUGAGCUUGAUAGAGAUUUCAAGAUGAGGAAAGGAUUGCACCCCCAGAUGCAAUGGAUAUCAUAUGUGACACAGAGUGGAAGACUGAUUCAGGUUAUGAUGACUAGAAUACAUGACACGGGUAAAGUCUAUCAUUUUAGAGCGAGGCGUCAGAUUGCCCAGAGCCUUGGCCAGGUUGCCAAGUUCAACCGCCGUUAUGGGCUAAAGACAGAGGAUGAACCCGAAAAGAAAUGAUUUUCAUUCAUAUUGAGUGAAACUUUCAAUUUUACUUUGGCGUGUGAUUUAGAUAUUUGAAUCUUUUGGCUCUGAAUAAUUCUGCAGUUUUUUUUUUUUU